UACAGGGGGUGCAAACGUUGCUCGGAAUCAUUGGGCGUAAAGCGCACGUAGGCGGUCUGUUAUGUCGGAUGUGAAAGCCCUCGGCUCAACUGAGGAAGUGCAUCCGAAACUGGCAGGCUAGAGUACUAAAGAGGGUCGCGGAAUUCCCGGUGUAGAGGUGAAAUUCGUAGAUAUUGGGAGGAACACCAGUGGCGAAGGCGGCUCACUGGACCGGUACUGACGCUGAUGCGCGAAAGCGUGGGGAGCAAACAGG
rnacentral:rRNA from 1 species